AACGAACGCUGGCGGCAUGCCUAACACAUGCAAGUCGAACGAGACCUUCGGGUCUAGUGGCGCACGGGUGCGUAACGCGUGGGAACCUGCCCUUAGGUUCGGAAUAACUCCCCGAAAGGGGUGCUAAUACCGGAUAAUGUCUUCGGACCAAAGAUUUAUCGCCUUUGGAUGGGCCCGCGUUGGAUUAGCUAGUUGGUAGGGUAAAAGCCUACCACGGCGACGAUCCAUAGCUGGUCUGAGAGGAUGAUCAGCCACACUGGGACUGAGACACGGCCCAGACUCCGACGGGAGGCAGCAGUGGGGAAUAUUGGACAAUGGGCGAAAGCCUGAUCCAGCAAUGCCGCGUGAGUGAUGAAGGCCUUAGGGUUGUAAAGCUCUUUUACCCGGGAUGAUAAUGACAGUACCGGGAGAAUAAGCUCCGGCUAACUCCGUG
rnacentral:rRNA from 1 species